GACUUUGAAGAAACAGUUAGACCAAGGA
rnacentral:piRNA from 1 species